GCUACUCUCGGUGUUAGAACUUUGGAAUAUCAAACUCUUCCCAUAACCGAUAGCAAGAUGCAAAUACAUCUUUAAUGUGAAUCAAAUUGGACAAGGCGCGGUAUUGAUGCUCCGUUAAACUUUUAAUUCAGGAAAUUUAUCAAUCUAUCUAUUAAUGCAGCCUAUAAAACUGUUUCUUUCAACUUUUGUUCGUUUAUUUAAUAAUAUAGACAUUUCAAAAUUCAAAUAUUUCAAUUCAAUCAAAACACGAAACGCCUGCGAAUAGGCUAUGAUGUUUACAAUAUCCAAUCAGAACACGUAGUCUAUCGAACCUAUAGUCAGCAGCCAAUGAACUCUUUGCUUCCAUUUUUGAAAGUUAUGUGUGGAAUGUGAACCCAAAAACUACGCCAAUUUCACCAGAGGGUUAUUCAAAACAGGCGAAAAUAAAUACCCUCUGGUUCCAGGGUAUUAUAUAGUCUGCAGUGAGCCGAAUUUUGAAAAUCUACACGCUUCAUAAUAACCGUGAAGCCUCUGGACUAAGGCACAUGUAUUACUCUUUCUUUAAACCAGGAAGCUGCUGAUACUGCUUUACAGGAAGUGAAUUUGAGAUUGAAUGAGCCGUAUGUUGCUGUAACUGCAAUUAGUAGUCGAGAUGGAAGCUUUGGAAUGGCAGCCAUCAAUGCCAAUAAGAUGCCUUGGGCAAGUAUCAGUGAUCGUGAUAACGAUCACGUUAUCGUCCUAAGAUCGGGCACGCAACCAGGUGUAAUUCAAGAAGAGGUCGAGAUUGAAUGAAUCACAAUGUAUAUAUAUAUGCUACGGUAUAGUGUAAGUAUCAAUGUGGCAUUUGUAACGUUAUAUUAAUAUUUAAAUAGUUAAUAAGAAUUACUCCAUAUUCGUACUGAUUAGUAUCGCUACAGUUUAACUCACUACUAUGCACUUAAGGCAAUGUCAGAAGAAGCACCAAACUCGUACAAAAGCGUGUUGUUCAUAAAAUGUAAAAAAAUGUAAUUAGAAACGUAAAGAAAUAAAUUGCAACAGUAUAUAGGUGAAGAUCAAACAAGCAUUCGUGAAAACAAAUGACAUUAUAACUCGCGUUCAGUCGAUUGGCAUGAUGAGGAUAUUUGAAUUUCAUGAACAAGAUACACAUUGACUGUAGAGAGAUCUAGAGCACGAGUAAUUUACGUGUGUAAAGAAAAGUUGGGAACGAUGUACAUGUGUUCAAACUUUGUAAACGAAGUAAAAAUUUAUGAUAACCAUAUGUGUUUCAAAAUACUUGUGAAUUUUAUGUCACUGAUGUUAGAUAUUUAACAAUUAUUGAAUGAGGUUG